rfam:Strongylocentrotus purpuratus Contig28161_fixed, whole genome shotgun sequence.
CCAAUGUUGACACCCAAGUCCUCCACUUGGUCCUGUCACAGUGGCUUGAAGGAGCUGAGUCCUUGCGACACUUACUAUGAUGUAUGGUCCUCCGCCACGACAUUGGAGAGCAACCUGGUCCCCUUUUGUCACUUCUCCGCAAGGAGCAGUAACAUCUGGUGUGGACCUGUCCUUGCAUAUUCCUUGUAUUUCCCAGAGUCACUCUGUGACAAUUACUGGGGAGUUAAACCAUGCAAGGGACAUUU